UCAGCCGCCGCGGUAAUACCAGCUCUCCGAGUGGUGUGGACGUUUAUUGGGCCUAAAGCAUCCGUAGCUGGCUGAACAAGUCCCCUGUUAAACCCACCGAUUUAAUCGUUGGCGUGCGGGGGAUACUGCUUGGCUAGGGGACGAGAGAGGCGGACGGUAUUCCCGGGGUAGGGGUGAAAUCCUAUAAUCCUGAGAAGACCACCAGUGGCGAAGGCUGUCUGCUAGAACGCGCCCGACGGUGAGGGAUGAAAGCUGGGGGAGCGAACCGGAUUAGAUACCCGGGUAGUCCCAGCUGUAAACGAUGCAGACUAGGUGUUUGAACGGCCACGUGCCGUUCUAGUGCCGCAGGGAAGCUGUUAAGUCUGCCGCCUGGGGAGUACGAUCGCAAGGUUGAAACUUAAAGGAAUUGGCGGGGGAGCACA
rnacentral:rRNA from 1 species